rnacentral:lncRNA from 1 species
UGUUUAUCGUAAGAAAUUAAGAAGUUAUUUAAAUAUCACAUAAAGUGAACUACUGUAGUCCUACAGCAAGAAUAAUUACUGUUAAGAAUUGGGCUUUCGCUCAGCCCUGCGGCAUCAACAGAAUGGGCAAGUUACGAGGUCUUCAUACUGCCAGGAAGCUCCAUAGUCAAUGAAGGGACCAGAAGUGACAUGAUAAACAAUACAAGAAAGCCCAUUUGGGCACAGGCCUGAAGACCAACCCUUUGGAGGUGCUUCCCAUGCAAAGGGAAUUGUGCUAGAAAAACGUAGAGGUUGAAGCCAAACAGCCAAAUUCUGCCAUCGAGAAGUUUGUUUUCAGGGUCCAGGUGAUCAAGAAUGGCAAGAAAAUCACAGCUUUUGUAUCCAGUGAUGAUUGCUUGAACUUUAUUGAGGAAAAUGAUGAAUUUCUGGUUGCUAGAUUUGGUCGAAAAGGUCAUGCUGUUGGUGACAUUCCUGGAGUCUGCUUUAAGGUUGUCAUGUCUCCCUUUUGGCCCUAUACACAAAGGCAAGAAGGGGAGGUCAAGAUCAUAAAUUUCGCUGAUGAAAACAAUAGUAAUAAAUUUUUAUAUUACAGAAAAAAAGAAAUGGGAGUAUAUUCCUCAAUUUUUUUUAAUGGAAAUGCUAACACUAUAUUACAUGUUAAAAAUAUCAAAAUAUUAGUAAACAGUAUUAAGGGGAUCAGGUAACUGAUAUUUUGUUGAAUAUAUAAUGAGUCAUCC